ensembl:snoRNA
UGGUGACGUUCUCCAGAAUCACUGCAGUGCUGUGAUGAAAAGUGCACUUGAACCCUUUUCCAUCUGACGGCUGGGCUCUCCCGAU